rnacentral:misc_RNA from 1 species
ACAACCAUAAAGCAUGCUGAUAGCACAGGACAUAAAUUUCAAUAUCAACAAAAGAUAGACAAAUAUGUGCAUUCCCACAACUUCUCUAACUUCACACUUGCAGAAUUUUGUAUCACAAUCAAAUCUUGUCACUCCAGUCUUAAAAAUUACUGAUGGAAAAAAUUAAAAUAGAUGAAAAAGGUAACAAGCUACAAGCAUUCAAAUUUUAGAAAGUCAGCCCAAGUUAUCCAUAGUUUACAGGCAAAUGUACUAUGUGAUUACAACAAAUUUAUUAACUUAAUAUACAGAAGGCAUCCAAUCUUACAGGGAAGAAGUCUGUCUUAUAUG